rnacentral:rRNA from 1 species
CCCUUAGAUGUUCUCGGCCGCACACGCGCUACACUGAAAGAGGCAACGUGUUUGCCUGAUUCGAAAGAAUUGGGUAACCCCCUAAUCUCUUUCGUGCUGGGGAUUGAGGUUUGCAAUUAUCCUUCAUGAACGAGGAAUUCCCAGUAAGUGCGAGUCAUUAUCUCGCGCUGACUACGUCCCUGCCCUUUGUACACACCGCCCGUCGCUACUACCGAUUGAAUGAUUUAGUGAGGACUUCGGACUGAGUCCAAUGCGGCUUUCGGGCUGCGUUGGUAUUUCGGAAAGAUGUCCAAACUGUAUCAUUUAGAGGAAGUAGAAGUCGUAACA